rnacentral:tRNA from 1 species
GCACUGGUGUUUCAGUGGCAGAAUUCCUGCCUUCCAUGAGAGAGACCUGGGUUCAAUUUCCAGCCAAUGCA